rnacentral:tRNA from 2 species
GGCGAGAUGGCCGAGCGGUCUAAGGCGCUGUGUUAAGGUGUACACCUCCGCAGUCUUCGGACGUGGGUUCGAAUCCCACUCUCGUCA